rnacentral:rRNA from 1 species
UACAGAGGGUGCGAGCGUUGUCCGGAAUCACUGGGCGUAAAGGGCGCGUAGGUGGCCCGACAAGUCAAUGGUGAAAGCUCGACGCUUAACGUCGAGUCGGCCACUGAUACUGUUGGGCUGGAGCGCUGUAGAGGCUCAUGGAAUUCCGGGUGUAGCGGUGGAAUGCGUAGAGAUCCGGAAGAACACCGGUGGCGAAGGCGGUGAGCUGGGCAGUUGCUGACACUGAGGCGCGACAGCGUGGGGAGCAAACAGG